GAUGAACGCUGGCGGCGUGCCUAAUACAUGCAAGUCGAACGCAUAGCGAAAGGUGCUUGCACCUUUCAAGUGAGUGGCGAACGGGUGAGUAACACGUGGACAACCUGCCUCAAGGCUGGGGAUAACAUUUGGAAACAGAUGCUAAUACCGAAUAAAACUUAGUGUCGCAUGACACAAAGUUAAAAGGCGCUUCGGCGUCACCUAGAGAUGGAUCCGCGGUGCAUUAUUUAGUUGGUGGGGUAAAGGCCUACCAAGACAAUGAUGCAUAGCCGAGUUGGGAGAGUGAUCGGCCACAUUGGGACUGAGCCACGGCCCAAACUCCUACGGGAGGCUGCAGUAGGGAAUCUUCCACAAUGGGCGAAAGCCUGAUGGAGCAACGCCGCGUGUGUGAUGAAGGCUUUCGGGUCGUAAAGCACUGUUGUAUGGGAAGAACAGCUAGAAUAGGAAAUGAUUUUAGUUUGACGGUACCAUACCAGAAAGGGACGGCUAAAUACGUG
rnacentral:rRNA from 1 species